AAGCAGGAAACAACUGUGUGACUUUCAGCUGACACAUGGAGAAUGUCAGGAGAACCCUGGCAGGAGUAGCUUUAAAACACUCCUGGAGUUUUAAGAGAAAGAAGAAGAAACAGAGUGGAAGGGCGGAGGUGGAGAUGGUAGAGGAGACACUGGAGAAGCCCUAUCUGGAGAAGCCGUGUGUAGAUGAAAAUCACUCAGAUGGUGAAGCCAGGCCCAGUGCCCAAGAACAAAGACUGCGGAACAACCUCUGCUGGAAGCUAGAAUGAUUGCGCACAUCCCCUGUCUCCAUUGUCUUUUGACACAGAGCCUCUUACCAGCCUGGAGUUGGGCAGGUUAGGUGGCCAGUGGGCUCCAGGAAUCUUCCCAACUCUGCCUUCUAGCACUGGGAUUACACGUGUGUGCCAGCACAGCUGGGUUUUAACGCUUGCGUUCUGGGGACUAAUCUCAGGGCCUCCUGUUUGUGUAGCACCUUGCGAGUUGAGCAAUCUCCCUAAGCCCAACAAAGGUUUUAUAACCAAAA
rnacentral:lncRNA from 1 species